rnacentral:rRNA from 1 species
UACGAAGGGGGCUAGCGUUGCUCGGAAUCACUGGGCGUAAAGCGCACGUAGGCGGCUUUCUAAGUCAGGGGUGAAAUCCUGGAGCUCAACUCCAGAACUGCCUUUGAUACUGGAGAGCUUGAGUCCGGAAGAGGUGAGUGGAACUCCGAGUGUAGAGGUGAAAUUCGUAGAUAUUCGGAAGAACACCAGUGGCGAAGGCGGCUCACUGGUCCGGUACUGACGCUGAGGUGCGAAAGCGUGGGGAGCAACA